UUUUGCACUUUCAGCUGUGUCAGCCCAGCAGCAGUGAAGGGAGUUUGGCCUUGAAGUGAAUGUAAAGAGGAAAGAGAACCAGAAGAGGAGAGCUGGAGUGAGCUGUCUAAAUGAAGCUGCAGUUUGCAGCGUGGGAAGAUGAGAGAGUAGAAGAAAAGAGACUUGAUAUUUGAAUCUGCGUAGAUGAGAUGAAAAGAAGAUUAAGGAGGAGGACAUAUAUCUUCAGAACAUAAAAGGAGAUUUAGCCAGGGUUUAACAUCAGAUGGAUGGACAGAGAAAGAAACAGAGCAAAAAGAAACAACAUAUGCUUCAUAAAGCAAUGAAGGUUCGAAACAAAGCCACAGUACAAUGU